GGAGUUGUGCCUGAAUUAAAGGAUCACUUUGAUAGGGUGAAUUAUAAGGGUUAAAAUCCCUUCAGCUCCU
rnacentral:tRNA from 1 species